AAUCUGCUGUGUGAGUCAUCCACAUGCAUAGAGUUUGUGAAAUGACUUGCAUUGAGUUGACUGCUUCAGUUUUAUGUGCUCCAUUAUGUUGGCAUUAUUCCUCAGCCAGGCAAUUCCUGCAUUUGAGUAUCUGCAUCUUCCAGAAUUAAAAACAUGAGAAAUUGGAUAUUGGCACACCUGUGUUCUAUAAGGAUGAAGAGGGAACUUCAAAAGGCUGGUUUGAGUUUCAGGAAAACACUCCAAGCCUUUGAGGUGUCUGGGAGAGACUGGAUGAGCCACUCCCUGGAGGUCCCCAUGUGUCUCUGCUGCCUCUGAGGACAGCCCAGCUCAGGACAGAGUUCCAGAAAUAAAGUGGCCCAAGAAUAGGAAGGAAAAGAACAACUUCUUCCUCCCAAAAACCAGGCAAAAUUUGUGACAUCCUGUA